UGUGUGUGUGUGUGUGUGUGUGUGUGUGUGUGUGUGUGUGUGUGUGUUUCUAUUCUUACUUGCGGCCUCCACCAGCUCCGGCUGCAGGCUGUAGGGGAUCAGCGGGUCGGGCAGGUCGGCGAAGAAGGCCUUCAGAGCUCCUGCUGCUGCAUUCACCGCCACGUCCAUCACCACGAAGUCAAUACUGUGAUCUGCAGGGAGAGGAGAGGAAGAGGAGGAGGAGGAGGAAGAGGGUCAGAGGCAGAUUCACAAGAGCGACGGCCAAAUGACGACAGGAGGGAGGAGACAGAGGGAGGAGAAGAGAGAAAGAGGACAGAGCCCUGAGGUGGAAGAAGCCGGCGGCUCUCGAUCACCGCUCGCUGACACAGGAGCUAACUGGCUGUAAUGGUGCAUCGGCCACAGACCAGUAUCACUGAGCUGCAGCGAGAAGAGAUGAUGCAACCUGCAGAGUGCAAACGGGAAUAUGUGG